CAGUUGGACUGUGCAUUUUCUGACAGACGUAGUUGACGGCAAACUGGAUAUCUGGCCUCGUCAGUGUCAGUUGAAGAGGAAGCGGAGUAGGCAUAGAAGUGCAGUCAGUCAUAGAGGCAACUGCGAGAAGAUCUUCCGCAUAUUUCUGUUGACACAAAAAGAGUCCUUUCUCAUGGCUUUGAACUUGAAUUCCAAGAAAAUAAUACAAACAGCGACGGAUCAGACUUGGAGCAGACAAAGCCGAACUUGAUGAGAAAGGAGCUGAACUUAUCAAACCAUGCACGGGGAGCCUGCUUAAGACCAUAGAUUGCCUUGUUGAGACGCCACACAUGAUUUUGUUUGCUUUGAUCAACAAAUCCAGCAGGCUGCUUCAUAUAAACCGUUUCUUGAAGAUCACCAUGGCUGUAUGUUUCCAAGUAGUCGAUCCCUUCUUCCUGUUCGUUUCCUUUUGCCACCACACGCGAGCGAAGUUUACUGAAAGAACCAUCCGCAUUGAGCUUGAUUCUGUGCACCCAUCUUGAUCCUAGAACGUGCAUAUCCGGAGUUCGAGGAACCAGAGUGAAGGU